rnacentral:rRNA from 1 species
UACGUAGGUGGCAAGCGUUGUCCGGAUUUAUUGGGUUUAAAGGGCGCGUAGGCGGCCGAUCAAGUCAGGGGUGAAAGCCUGUGGCUCAACCACAGAAUUGCCUUUGAUACUGUUUGGCUCGAGACCGGAAGAGGUUGGUGGAACUGCGAGUGUAGAGGUGAAAUUCGUAGAUAUUCGCAAGAACACCAGUGGCGAAGGCGGCCAACUGGUCCGGUUCUGACGCUGAGGCGCGAAAGCGUGGGGAGCAAACAGG